GAGGAGCUGUCCUUAGUACGAGAGGACCGGGAUGGACCGUCCGCUGGUGGACCGGUUGUCAUGCCAAUGGCACGGCCGGGUAGCCAAGACGGGAAGGGAUAAACGCUGAGGCAUCUAAGCGUGAAGCCCCCCUCAAGAUGAGAUAUCCAUACUCGAAAGAGUGAGAGACCCCUUAGAGACGAUGAGGUAGAUAGGGCAGGGAUGGAAGUGCAGCGAUGCAUGGAGUUGACUGUUACUAAUCGGUCGAAAGCUUGACCUUA
rnacentral:rRNA from 1 species